UUGGAAAUAGGAGAUUAAUUAAGGCUCUAGACUAUCAAAGCAUGCUUUAUCUAUUCUUCAUGGAAAAUAUAUUGGGAACACACAAGUCUUUAACAAAUCCAAUUGCCCAAAUAAUUCUACAUGCAUCAGGAACUGAAGAAGAUUGGAUCAGCCAUGUGAUUUUCAGAACCCUGCUUCUCUCAUGUUUUUGCUAUGGUUGUUGAAACUGUGAAAGAUAUUAUGAUGAUGGGUCUUAGAUGGAGUGAGAUUUUUCUCUUGGCUUUAAAGAUAAUUGGCUAUGGUUACUUAAUAGAAUGGGUAUAUCUUUACAGGUAACUAAUAAAUUGGUACUUGAUGUUGGUAUAUUCCUCCAAACUACUGAAGUCCAUAAUUGAAGUGAAGUUGACUUGAGAAUGCAGUGCGGCUAUUUUCUCUGGGAUUUGGCAAAGAGUUGAGGAGACGAGCAUUUAUAUAUUGUGGAUUUUUAAAGAAUAGUGUUUGCUCUUAUUCAACGGUGUGUAAUUGGGGAUGCCAUUUCAGGGAUGAAGCAGUUGGUGAUGCUGGCCAUGGCCUCCAUCAAUGGCUAAUCUUAUCAGUGAUUUUAUUUUUUGGGACUGUUUUGCAUGACUUUGACAAUUUCUUUGAUGUUUUAUAUUCUUAACUUUAUUUAAUUUUGAUUUUUAUAAUUUUUUAUGGUUUCAUGAUUAGUUAAGUGAUCUUUGUAAUUUUAUUUUGUUCUCUCAGGUAUGCUAAAGUCUGUUCUAUUUCUUUGCUGAUUCUUGCUUUAUUCUCUCUCCCUUUGCACUUUUUUGCUGAUAUAGGUUCUUUUAUGUCGAAUUCUGCCAAUUCCUAUUCAAGAAGACACCUUAAGUUUUUUUUUUUUUUUUGCAAUUUCAGAUGAACUUUAAUCUCACGUGGCAGCUUCGUCAUCAAGAUGGUCUCUACAAAGGAAAAAGCUAAUUAAACUAUUUUAGGGAGAAAAAUCUAAAGAGGUUGUGAUAGUUGUAGAUGCAAAAUGCCAUAAUAUGAGAUAGACAUUAAGACAUAAAUUGGGGAAGUGAAGUUAUAUAUGUUGUAAGAAACGGGGAGAGUUUUCACCAAUUCUAAGAUGAUUUCAAGAGUUUUUAAUGAGGAGUUGGACAAUUGGCAUUAUUAUUAUUAUUUUUUUGGUGAAUGUUUGUACCAUUAAUUGAUGAAAAUCACCCUUUUAGCAUGGUUUCGAUGUUUUAUGUAAUUCUGAAGAUGCCAAGAGGGUAUAGCUAGAGGAGUAUAUGUUUUGUCAUUUGUUACAAUCUAUGUGUUACAAACUAAUUUGUUACUUUUCUAUCUUUUUCAUGUUUUUUUUUUCACUUUUUAUAUCAUUCAGUUCUAAUUAAUUUUUGUAUACAUUUAAUCAUUUAUGCUUGAC